rnacentral:rRNA from 1 species
CAGCCGCCACGGUAAUACGGAGGGUGCAAGCGUUAAUCGGAAUUACUGGGCGUAAAGCGUGCGCAGGCGGUUUGUUAAGACAGAUGUGAAAUCCCCGGGCUCAACCUGGGAACUGCAUUUGUGACUGGCAAGCUAGAGUGUGGCAGAGGGGGGUGGAAUUCCGCGUGUAGCAGUGAAAUGCGUAGAUAUGCGGAGGAACACCGAUGGCGAAGGCAGCCCCCUGGGCCAACACUGACGCUCAUGCACGAAAGCGUGGGGAGCAAACAGGAUUAGAUCCCGUGUAGUCCCUGUCUCUUAUACA